ACAUAAAUAGAGCAGCUUAAAUGGUACAAAUGUAUUUCUUUACAGUUCUGUAAGUCCUGGUUGGUCUGACUGGGCUGAAAUCAAGGCCAGAGGAACACUGGCCCUCCCUGGACGCUUUAGAGAAGACCUUCAGUCACCUUUCCCAGCUUGUGAAGGCAGCACAUGCUCCCUGGCUCCUGGUCUCCUUCCUCCAUCUUCAAACCACCAAUGACCUCUCUGGCCCUCUUUCCAUCAUCACAUCUCUCUCUGAUCACAGUCAGGAAGUGUUCCCUGAUUUUAAGGACCAAUGAGUAGGCCAAGCCCACCUGCAUGAUCCCUGCUAACCUCCCCACGUCAAAGUGCUUAAUCUAAUAACAUUUGCAAAAUCCUUUUUUUUUUUUUCCACAUAAGGUAGCACAUUCACAGGUUAGGGAUCAAACACAAACAUCUUUGGUGGGGGGCAUUGUUCUGCCUCCCUCAAUAUAUUCAAGGGAGGCCUUCAGGAAAGUCUUUUUCUUUCUUUUUUUGCUGCCAAGGAUGAGGCGUUGGGGGGGUGGGGAGGCGGUAAAUCUAAAGCCUCAAAGUGAUUCUAAAAAACACACAGUCUACAGGAGCUCAUUCGGCUAAAUAUCUCACUUUGCUGACAAAGAAACAUUGUCCAGACAGGGGUGUGACUUGCUCAAGGUCACAGGAUUAUAGAGGAGUGGCUGCUGUGGGCUCCAACCCUCCUGGCUCACAGCCAACUCUCUUUGCACCCUCCACGUGGACCUUCUGGAUUCAUAUUGCAAAGAAGCAUUUUAAAAUAAAAAUAAAACCACUGAUGGGAAGCUUUGUUCUACUUGGAAGAAGUGUUUUGAAUGAGAAGAGAAAUUUGUUAAAAAGUUUGUAACGAAAUGUCAAGAUGGUUUGCCAUUUUACAAAAAUAUCAUUUUUAAUCCCAAGUGACAAAACUACUCUGUUGCUAAAGAGAGAUGAUAUUUAAAUAAAGGUCAAAUAAAAUCAGGGGGCGAAUACAACACAUGAUGUAUUAGAAUAUUUAGGAUAAAUUCAGAGAAUCUGUGGGGACCUUGACAAUUUUACCAAUCUCUUUUCU
rnacentral:lncRNA from 1 species